UUUUUUAAAAUAGAGGGCUUGAGCUUAGUUCAAGCUUUUUUUUCUAACCCCUUGUCCAGACCCUUAUGCGGGAGGCCCGGGCCAAAGCCCGUAGGAAUGGACAAGGCCGACCCGAGCUUGAGCCGGCCCAAACUUUUUUGCCAUCCCUGUGUGUGUAUUAUGUAUGUCAGUGGCACUGGGAGUGAAGCACAAAUAGUUUACGUGGCCAAUUGCAUUUUUCAAUAAGGGUGAGCAAACCUAUUCUAAAUUAAUAGAUCAAUUUGAUCCAAUCCAAUCCAAUCUUUAUUUUGAUGGAUUGAGUGGAUUAUUAUGAGUUAAUUGGGUCAAUUAUUGUAGAUUAAUUGGGUCAAUUUUACAAUUAAUAAUUAGGUUAGAUUAGGUUAAAUAUGAUGAACCGUAUAAUCCAACCUAGGCCAUGCAAAUAAUAAUAAUAACAAUAAUAAUGAUAUGUUUAUUCUCAAUUGUAAAAUCCUAAAAAUCUAAACAACUAACCUAAUUUUUAACUCUUUUUAUUUUAAUAGAAGAAACCAUUUCAUUCUCGCAUAUGCUCUCUAUACUCUAAUUUUAAAGUUAAAAUACUAUCUCAUAUAAGUAAAUUUAUUAUCUUGUAAGUUUAAUUUCAAAAGUCAAUUGGUUUUAAUUUCUCAUUAUCUUUUAGUAAACACUUAACAAUAUAUAAUUGUAUAUCACUUUUAUUUUGUUACCAAACAUGAUACUAGCUAAUUAUCUAAAAUGUCUGAAUUUGAAAUUUGAAAAAGAGAUGUGGGAUAGAAGCACAUUGUUGAAAUUUUCUUAAUUUUAAAAUAGUUGAUUUUUUAGUUUUCUUUAUCGGGCACUAAACAAUGAAUAAAAUUUUCAUGUUAUAAUAAAUUUAUAUUAUAUUUUAAUAAGUUUCAUUUCUAAAUUUAUAUUUUUUUUUAAUUUUAAUUUUGAUUUGACUUUCAAUCCGAUCAAAACAAUUCAAUUCAAUAUUGGAUUGAAUUAAAUAUAUUUGUUUAAUUGGGUGAGUUGAUUUAAUCUCAACCCUACCACAAGUGGGUUGGAUUUGCACAAACCUAUCUAAUCCAACCCAUACUCACCCCUACAUCUCGGAGAAGACAAUUGGAUAGGGCUUCAUUUCAGAUCAAUUUCGCAACCAAUCAAUGGUGAAGCCCAAACCUGCAUCCAUAAGGCAGCCAAAUUCAACCAAAAUUUUUUUUAUGUUGGCCCAACAUGGCUCUCUGGCUUAUUCAGCGUUUAUCCACUGCAUUUGAUGUUUUUAUUUUUAAAUUUGUUUAUUCAUAAAAAUUCUUUAAUAUCUCUCAAAGAUCUGUAUUUUUAAUUUUUUCUGUUUUUCUUUGGGAAAUAAUUUUUUUUUAAAAGAAAACUUAAUCAUACGCGUCACCUUUGAAUGGCAUACUAAAAUUUUAUAGAUUGUUUAGACCUUCUACAUUCAAGUAUUUAACUGAAAAUGAUAUUCGCCAACCAUUUAGAGGAUUUGCUUAAGUCUCAUAUAGUUAAUAUCUCUAAUAUUCCCAUCAAGGAUUAUAUACUUAAAUCAAGAUCAACUCUCAAUUGAUAUGAUAAUAUCUCUAACACUUUCUUUCAAGACUUAUAUCUCACUUUGUUCAAAACGGGUCACUUAAGUAUUAUAUAAUUAAUAAUCUAAUAUCUCUGUCAAUGAUUGUAUACUUAAAUCAGGAUCAACACUCAACUAAUAUGGAAAUAUUCAUAACACGUUCUAUCAAGGCCUGUUAAAAAAAAAAAAAAACGACUUAUAUCCCACUAGUAUGUGAGUUUGACCAUGAUAUCAUAUAAGUUUAAGCGAACUUAAGCGUUAAGGAUUUGCUCAACCAUUAUAUACUUAAACCAAAAUCAAUUAUUAGCCAAUGUGAUAUAAUAUUCCUAACCAACCCUGCGUUAACACCAACCAAGCCAAUUUUUUUCAUUUUUUUCUCGCGACUAAGUGAGAUUCAUGUGAGGGUAGAGGUGUAUUGCUCAUAAAAUUAUCGUGCACAAAAAUUGAGCUCGGCUUCUAACUGAUCUCUUCUCUCGUGUUAGUUCAAUACUGCGUCUCAAAGUAGUAUUUAAUUUGUGCAUGCAUGUUCACCUCUAGUCUCUAGCUAGGUAUCCCUUUGUUUGGUCAUGUGAUGUGAGUGAGUAAACUCAAAAUCUACCAAUAAUACCAACGUACGCAUGCAGCCAAUUGAUCCCGAUCGAUAUUCAAUAGCAGUAGGACUUGUGAUUAGUAACUUUGAAAAACAACGAAAGAAAACAAACUUUGUCAGCCUGGAUUGGUUGGUACGAAGGUGAACGAGCAAGUUCCAAAUUUAGUGAUGGAGAAGCAGCUAGCUAGCAUCAACGCAUGACCAGAGAAUACUAUAAAUUAAUGCUUGCAAGCUUGCAGCCACUUUAAUAAAAAUUGGAAGCAGGUGGUGUGAAUCCAAUGUCAGCACAAGUUGGCAAAAAAGCAUAUUGGUAUUUUUAUGUUUCGGUAGAGCUGCUGCUGAUGCGUCUCAUGUGAACUUUUGACGAUGAUGAUGAAAGUUUUCGUCAUUUCCUUUUUCAUCAAGAAUUUAUCUUAAUAAACAACUAGUGCAAACCCACAUCAGAAAAAGGUUUCUUUAUCCCUUUCAAGAGUAUUAUCAUCUAUUCUAGUUCGGUAAAGUGCAAGGUGGAUUGGCAAUUUGAAACAAAGGAUUAGUGCUUUUUGGAUAAUACAACUUUAGUUGGCACGUAUUUGUUUGUCGUCAAAAGCUCAAUAAUUGCGUACAAGUUUUCAUUUCUCAAUCCCAAUUCAAGCUUUUAAGUAACAUUUGCAUCAACGGUGCUUCGUUGCCUGAAAAUUGUUGCUCGAUUUGAUGACCGAAUAGACAAAAUCUGAAUGACUUUUUCUUAUUUGUAUUAGAUAGCAUGCUCCAUUGGUAAAAAUUUAUUCGUGUUCUAAAAAAUCUGGAUUUCAAACACCACUUACAUAUGUGAUAUGUUUCUAGUUUUUAAUUGGAAUCUCUUUAAUAUUAUUUUAUUUGUGAUUGACAAUAUCUUAGGGUAAUUAUCCAUUUAGAGUGUGUUUGGUGCACCACAUUGUAUUGAACUACUAAACUUGUAAUAAUUUGUAUUGUAUUGAAAUGAAUUAAAUUAAUACAGUAACCCACAUU
rnacentral:lncRNA from 1 species